rnacentral:lncRNA from 13 species
CCCUGACUGAUGUGGAAAGGACCGCAUGAGAGUAUGUUUCAAGGAGGCCAGAACCAUCGGCAGUCACCUGGGAGACGGGGAUCACAGACAGAGAGAGACAAGACAUUGUAUGGAAACUAAAUAACCAGAGCUCUAUGACAAGCCCAUCAGAGAAGUGGAUUUGUGAUGCCUUAAACAUUCCGUCUGUACGGCUGAGUCUCACAGCUAACCACGCUCAAGUGUAAGUCUGAGCGAUGAAUGUGACUGGAGACAGAUUUAUAAAACGGGAACUCGGUAAAUAACCCCUCCAGUUACCAUAGACAUGGGAUAAAUGUGGCUGAGUUACAGCACGCACUAGGAAUCACAGACGCAGGCUUUUUGCUCUCGCUCUCAGCGGCGUGUUGAGAAGGCAGGACAGCCGGGUGAUACAGGAGAGCUGCCGGCCCUCCAGAGAGAAACGGAUCCCGCUGUCCUGGCGUCCAGCACCGCAGCC